GUGUGUACUAGGUUACUGUUAUUAUGAAGGCUGUCAUAAUAAUCCUUGUUUGAUGGAGAUGGCAGAACCCGUUGACGCAACAACACCAUUAAACUCAACUUCAUACACCUGGGAAGUUUGCCUCCUGCAGUGCUUCACGUAGGACCAAAAGCGAUUAGGGUCACGCCCAAUUUCAUUUUCAAUGCCAAUAAGAUAUUGCCUGUAUGCUGAGGAUAUAUCCUUUUUUACUGAUGAACGUAAAUUACAGAACUGCACAUAACUAUCCGAUGCACAUGGAUCAUUUAGUGAACGUAGUCUUUUGUAUUUUUUAUGCAGCUUAUGUUUAAGCCUAAUAGAUGCCACUAUAUUUGUCGAAAACCAGACUGGAUAGGAUGAACCACUCCUAACUCUUUUCUUGGGGCAGAAUUUGUCCAAUAUUUUGUACAGAAGGUCAUAGAAAACAUUAACCGAAUCGUUGACAUCAACAGCGACAC